CUACGGGUGGCUGCAGUGAGGAAUAUUGCACAAUGGGGGGAACCCUGAUGCAGCAACGCCGCGUGGAGGAUGACGCAUUUCGGUGCGUAAACUCCUUUUAUAUGGCAAGAAAAUGACGGUAGCAUAUGAAUAAGCACCGGCUAACUCCGUGCCAGCAGCCGCGGUAAUACGGAGGGUGCAAGCGUUACUCGGAAUCACUGGGCGUAAAGGACGCGUAGGCGGGUUGGAAAGUCAGGUGUGAAAUCCUACAGCUUAACUGUAGAACUGCACUUGAAACUUCUAAUCUAGAGUAUGGGAGGGGGAGAUGGAAUUAGUGGUGUAGGGGUAAAAUCCGUAGAUAUCACUAGGAAUACCUAAAGCGAAGGCGAUCUCCUGGAACAUUACUGACGCUAAGGCGUGAAAGCGUGGGGAGCAAACAGGAUUAGAUACCCGAGUAGUC
rnacentral:rRNA from 1 species